rnacentral:rRNA from 1 species
GAUGAACGCUGGCGGCGUGCCUAACACAUGCAAGUCGAACGAAGCACCUUACCUGAUUCUUCGGAUGAAAGUUUGGUGACUGAGUGGCGGACGGGUGAGUAACGCGUGGGUAACCUGCCCUGUACAGGGGGAUAACAGCUGGAAACGGCUGCUAAUACCGCAUAAGCGCACGAGGAGACAUCUCCUUGUGUGAAAAACUCCGGUGGUACAGGAUGGGCCCGCGUCUGAUUAGCUGGUUGGCAGGGCAACGGCCUACCAAGGCAACGAUCAGUAGCCGGUCUGAGAGGAUGAACGGCCACAUUGGAACUGAGACACGGUCCAAACUCCUACGGGAGGCAGCAGUGGGGAAUAUUGCACAAUGGGGGAAACCCUGAUGCAGCAACGCCGCGUGAGUGAAGAAGUAUUUCGGUAUGUAAAGCUCUAUCAGCAGGGAAGAUAAUGACGGUACCUGACUAAGAAGCUCCGGCUAAAUACGUG